UUCCGGUUGAUCCCGCCGGACCUGACUGCUAUCGGAUUGAUACUAAGCCAUGCGAGUCAUUGUAGCAAUACAAGGCAUACGGCUCAGUAACGCGUAGUCAACCUAACCUAUGGACGGGAAUAACCUCGGGAAACUGAGAAUAAUGCCCGAUAGAACACUAUACCUGGAAUGGUUUGUGUUCCAAAUGAUUUAUCGCCAUAGGAUGGGACUGCGGCCUAUCAGUUUGUUGGUGAGGUAAUGGCCCACCAAGACUAUUACAGGUACGGGCUCUGAGAGGAGUAGCCCGGAGAUGGGUACUGAGACACGGACUCAGGCCCUAUGGGGCGCAGCAGGCGAGAAAACUUUGCAAUGUGCGAAAGCACGACAAGGUUAAUCCGAGUGAUUUGUGCUAAACGAAUCUUUUGUUAGUCCUAGAAACACUAACGAAUAAGGGGUGGGCAAGUUCUGGUGUCAGCCGCCGCGGUAAAACCAGCACCUCAAGUGGUCAGGAUGAUUAUUGGGCCUAAAGCAUCCGUAGCCGGCUCUGUAAGUUUUCGGUUAAAUCUGUACGCUUAACGUACAGGCUGCCGGGAAUACUGCAGAGCUAGGGAGUGGGAGAGGUAGACGGUACUCGGUAGGAAGUGGUAAAAUGCUUUGAUCUAUCGAUGACCACCUGUGGCGAAGGCGGUCUACCAGAACACGUCCGACGGUGAGGGAUGAAAGCUGGGGGAGCAAACCGGAUUAGAUACCCGGGUAGUCCCAGCUGUAAACUACGCAAACUCAGUGAUGCAUUGGCUUGUGGCCAAUGCAGUGCUGCAGGGAAGCCGUUAAGUUUGCCGCCUGGGAAGUACGUACGCAAGUAUGAAACUUAAAGGAAUUGGCGGGGGAGCACCACAAGGGGUGAAGCCUGCGGUUCAAUUGGAUUCAACGCCGGG
rnacentral:rRNA from 1 species